rnacentral:rRNA from 1 species
UACGGGGGGGGCAAGCGUUGUUCGGAAUUACUGGGCGUAAAGGGCUCGUAGGCGGCCAACUAAGUCAGACGUGAAAUCCCCAGGCUCAACCUGGGAACUGCGUCUGAUACUGGAUGGCUUGAAUCCGGGAGAGGGAUGCAGAAUUCCAGGUGUAGCGGUGAAAUGCGUAGAUAUCUGGAGGAAUACCGGUGGCGAAGGCGGCAUCCUGGACCGGCAUUGACGCUGAGGAGCGAAUGCCAGGGGAGCAAACGGG